rnacentral:tRNA from 1 species
UCCCUAGUGGCUUAUACAGUAAAGAAUCUGCCUGCAAUGCAGGAGAUCAAGGUUCAAUCCCUAGGUGGGGAA